rnacentral:rRNA from 1 species
CGAAGGACGAACGCUGGCGGCGUGCUUAACACAUGCAAGUCGAACGAUGAACCCGGAGCUUGCUCCGGCGGAUUAGUGGCGAACGGGUGAGUAACACGUGAGUAACCUGCCCUUGACUCUGGGAUAACUGCUAGAAAUGGUAGCUAAUACCGGAUACGACCCUCGGCGGCAUCGCCAGGGGUGGAAAGAAUUUCGGUCAAGGAUGGACUCGCGGCCGAUGUCGGAUUAGCUAGUAGGUGAGGUAAAGGCUCACCUAGGCGACGAUCUGUAGCUGGUCUGAGAGGACGACCAGCCACACUGGAACUGAGACACGGUCCAGACUCCUACGGGAGGCAGCAGUGGGGAAUUUUGGACAAUGGGCGCAAGCCUGAUCCAGCAAUGCCGCGUGCAGGAAGAAGGCCUUCGGGUUGUAAACUGCUUUUGUACGGAACGAAACGGUCUGGGCUAAUACCCCGGGCUAAUGACGGUACCGUAAGAAUAAGCACCGGCUAACUACGUG